rnacentral:rRNA from 1 species
CAGGGAAUCUUGCACAAUGGGCGAAAGCCUGAUGCAGCGACGCCGCGUGAGGGAUGAAGGCUCUAGGGUUGUAAACCUCUUUUCUCAGGGAAGAGCAAGGACGGUACCUGAGGAAUAAGCCACGGCUAACUACGUGCCAGCAGCCGCGGUAAUACGUAGGUGGCGAACGUUGUCCGGAAUUACUGGGCGUAAAGGGCCCGUAGGCGGCCCGGCAAGUCGUUUGUGAAAUCUCCCGGCUCAACUGGGAGCGGUCGAGCGAAACUGCCGAGCUUGAGGAUGUCAGAGGAAGACGGAAUUCCCGGUGUAGUGGUGAAAUGCGUAGAUAUCGGGAGGAACACCAGUGGCGAAAGCGGUCUUCUGGGGCAUUUCUGACGCUGAGGGGCGAAAGCGUGGGGAGCAAACCGGAUUAGAUACCCGCGUAGUCC